rnacentral:tRNA from 1 species
GGAGAUAUGGCUGAGUGGUUUAAAGUAAUAGUUUGCUAAACUGUCGUGUAGUUAAUACACCGUGGGUUCGAAUCCCACUAUCUCCU